GGCGUGCCUUAAUACAUGCAAAGUCGAGCGGACAGAUGGGAGCUUGCUCCCUGAUGUUAGCGGCGGACGGGUGAGUAACACGUGGGUAACCUGCCUGUAAGACUGGGAUAACUCCGGGAAACCGGGGCUAAUACCGGAUGCUUGUUUGAACCGCAUGGUUCAAACAUAAAAGGUGGCUUCGGCUACCACUUACAGAUGGACCCGCGGCGCAUUAGCUAGUUGGUGAGGUAACGGCUCACCAAGGCAACGAUGCGUAGCCGACCUGAGAGGGUGAUCGGCCACACUGGGACUGAGACACGGCCCAGACUCCUACGGGAGGCAGC
rnacentral:rRNA from 1 species